GCCAACCCAGUAGGUUCUGUACUUCACCAAACCAGCCUUGGGCGAGGUGGCACUUUGUCAUCAGUGCCCUACUGGGGCACAGACAGCCACCCCUGGGCACCAGAUUCUUAACGCCGAUCGUCCGCCAGUUUUAAGCAAUGAAAAACUGGUGUGGAAAAGGAAGUUGGAAAGUACGAGUUAGUUGUUGAAAAGCACCAAUUUCCAUAAACACUUUACAGAAGCUGUCAGUUUCCAAAAGUGCCCUAUUUAUAUCAUAAAAUAAAAUUAAUGAAAA
rnacentral:lncRNA from 1 species